AGGGAAGAAAAGGAGGUGUAAAAAGGAAUAAAAAGGAAACAAAUAACAAAGACCAAGCCCAGCCCAAAGAAAGCGCACGUUGUACCUGUGACGGGCGUCACAAAGGUUGUGACGAGCGUCACACUAAGCACACUCCUGUGACGAGCGUCACACAUGGUGUGACGGACGUCACACCAUUCCCCUAUAUUUUUGGCACUAGGAACUCAACUGACC
rnacentral:lncRNA from 1 species